CAGCCGCCGCGGUAAUACGGAGGGUGCAAGCGUUAAUCGGAAUUACUGGGCGUAAAGCGUGCGUAGGCGGUUCGUUAAGUCUGUUGUGAAAGCCCCGGGCUCAACCUGGGAAUGGCAAUGGAAACUGGACGGCUAGAGUGUGUCAGAGGAUGGUGGAAUUCCCGGUGUAGCGGCGAAAUGCGUAGAGAUCGGGAGGAACAUCAGUGGCGAAGGCGGCCAUCUGGGACAACACUGACGCUGAAGCACGAAAGCGUGGGGAGCAAACAGGAUUAGAUACCCGCGUAGUCCCUGUCUCUUAUAC
rnacentral:rRNA from 1 species